rnacentral:rRNA from 1 species
AUACGUAGGGUGCAAGCGUUAAUCGGAAUUACUGGGCGUAAAGCGUGCGCAGGCGGUUUUGUAAGACAGUGGUGAAAUCCCCGGGCUCAACCUGGGAACUGCCAUUGUGACUGCAAGGCUGGAGUGCGGCAGAGGGGGAUGGAAUUCCGCGUGGAGCAGUGAAAUGCGUAGAUAUGCGGAGGAACACCGAUGGCGAAGGCAAUCCCCUGGGCCUGCACUGACGCUCAUGCACGAAAGCGUGGGGAGCAAACAGGAUUAGAUACCCUGGUAGUCCACGCCCUAAACGAUGUCAACUGGUUGUUGGGGAUUUAUUUUCUCAGUAACGAAGCUAACGCGUGAAGUUGACCGCCUGGGGAGUACGGCCGCAAGGUUAAAACUCAAAUGAAUUGACGGGG